UACGGAGGGUGCAAGCGUUAUCCGGAUUCACUGGGUUUAAAGGGUGCGUAGGAGGGCAGGUAAGUCAGUGGUGAAAUCUCCGAGCUUAACUUGGAACUGCCGUUGAUACUAUCUGUCUUGAAUAUUGUGGAGGUGAGCGGAAUAUGUCAUGUAGUGGUGAAAUGCUUAGAUAUGACAUAGAACACCAAUUGCGAAGGCAGCUCGCUACACAUAUAUUGACUCUGAGGCACGAAAGCGUGGGGAUCAAACAGG
rnacentral:rRNA from 1 species